rnacentral:rRNA from 1 species
AGCGAACGCUGGCGGCAGGCUUAACACAUGCAAGUCGAGCGGGCACUUUCGGGUGUCAGCGGCGGACGGGUGAGUAACGCGUGGGAACGUGCCCUCGGGUUCGGAAUAACUCAGGGAAACUUGAGCUAAUACCGGAUACGCCCUCUUGGGGGAAGGCUGGCUGCCGGUGGAUCGGCCCGCGUCUGAUUAGCUAGUUGGUGAGGUAACGGCUCACCAAGGCGACGAUCAGUAGCUGGUCUGAGAGGAUGAUCAGCCACACUGGGACUGAGACACGGCCCAGACUCCUACGGGAGGCAGCAGUGGGGAAUAUUGGACGAUGGGCGCAAGCCUGAUCCAGCCAUGCCGCGUGAGUGAUGAAGGCCUUAGGGUUGUAAAGCUCUUUUAUCCGGGACGAUAAUGACGGUAACGGAGGAAUAAGCCCCGGCUAACUUCGUG